UCCGAAAUAGCUCAGUUUGGAGAGCGUUAGACUGCAGAUCUAAAGGUCCCUGGUUCAAUCCCGAGUUUCGGCA
rnacentral:tRNA from 1 species